AUGGCUAUGUGUAAGCGCGUUGUUCAAAUGAGGGACAGAUUCGGCAGUUUAUUUCACCAAGUUACGAUCGAUCAAUUCAUUUUCUAAUUCUGUUUCUAACAGAGUCGAGUACAGACAUUUAUCACAACUCGUUAAACGUAAUGGAAAUCGUGCUUUCCUCGUAGAUACAUUGGCUUUGGUGAGGGGUAUGGAAGCUCAAGGUGUGCCAUCGAAGCAGGCAGAGGCCAUAACCGCCGCUAUCACUGAAGUGUUAAAUGAUAGCCUGGAGAAUGUGGCGCAUUCUUUUGUUUCCAAGGAAGAAAUGCAGAAGAUUGUGAUGGAACAAGCAGCAAAGUUGACAGAGUUCCAGUCUUACAUGAAAAGUUCUCAGAAAUUGGCUUUUGAGCUUCUUUCAAGAUCACGAUGCGGAAACCACCAACCUUCCAACCUUACAAACAAGCUCGACCGGGAAAUUCAUGCAUUAAGAGCCCAGUUGGAAGCGGCAAAGUAUGAUGUGAUUAAAUACUGCAUUGGUACCCUUGUCUCAAUAUCUGCAGUCGGGCUUGCUGUUCUCCGCAUCUUGCUGUAAUUUUUUGUUACUUUGGUAACUAAUAGCUAAAUUUCUGUAGGACUGUCAAUUUCAUUCUUUUUGGGCAACUAUUUCCUGAUAAAAUCAAACAAUAUAAUGUCAUUAUUUGUUAGUAGUUUUUUUGUAAAAAGUGGCAAUACACACAUAGUUAACAGUUCAGUAUAAUUUGGCUUUGUGCCAUCAUGCAACGGCAAAAGUAAUGAUUCUUGUGCUUUAGGAAUA